AGUGAACGCUGGCGGUAGGCCUAACACAUGCAAGUCGAACGGCAGCACAGUAAGAGCUUGCUCUUACGGGUGGCGAGUGGCGGACGGGUGAGGAAUACAUCGGAAUCUACUUUUUCGUGGGGGAUAACGUAGGGAAACUUACGCUAAUACCGCAUACGACCUACGGGUGAAAGCAGGGGAUCUUCGGACCUUGCGCGAUUGAAUGAGCCGAUGUCGGAUUAGCUAGUUGGCGGGGUAAAGGCCCACCAAGGCGACGAUCCGUAGCUGGUCUGAGAGGAUGAUAAGCCACACGGGAACUGAGACACGGUCCAGACUCCUACGGGAGGCAGCAGUGGGGAAUAUUGGACAAUGGGCGAAAGCCUGAUCCAGCCAUACCGCGUGGGUGAAGGAGGCCUUCGGGUUGUAAAGCCCUUUUGUUGGGAAAGAAAAGCAGCAGGUUAAUACCCCGCUGUUCUGACGGUACCCAAAGAAUAAGCACCGGCUAACUUCGUG
rnacentral:rRNA from 1 species